rnacentral:rRNA from 1 species
ACAUAAGUAACGAUAAAGCGGGUGAAAAGCCCGCUCGCCGGAAGACCAAGGGUUCCUGUCCAACGUUAAUCGGGGCAGGGUGAGUCGACCCCUAAGGCGAGGCCGAAAGGCGUAGUCGAUGGGAAACGGGUUAAUAUUCCCGUACUUGGUGUUACUGCGAAGGGGGGACGGAGAAGGCUAUGUUGGCCGGGCGACGGUUGUCCCGGUUUAAGCGUGUAGGCUGGUUUUCCAGGCAAAUCCGGAAAAUCAAGGCUG